rnacentral:rRNA from 1 species
UACGGAGGGUGCGAGCGUUGUCCGGAAUCAUUGGGCGUAAAGGGCGCGUAGGUGGCCCCUCAAGCGUGCGGUGAAAGUCAGGGGCUCAACCCCUGAUCGGCCGUGCGAACUGGGGAGCUUGAGCACUGUAGAGGCAGGCGGAAUUCCCGGUGUAGCGGUGAAAUGCGCAGAUAUCGGGAGGAACACCGGUGGCGAAGGCGGUUCUCUGGGCCUGUACUGACGCUGAGGAGCGAAAGCGUGGGGAGCGAACAGG